rnacentral:rRNA from 1 species
UACGUAGGUGGCAAGCGUUGUCCGGAUUUACUGGGCGUAAAGGGCGUGCAGGCGGUCUGUUAAGUCUAGGGUGAAAGCUCCCGGCUCAACUGGGAGAGGUCCUUGGAUACUGGCGGACUUGAGGGAGGCAGAGGAGAAUAGAAUUCCCGGUGUAGUGGUGAUAUGCGUAGAUAUCGGGAGGAAUACCAGUGGCGAAGGCGGCUCACUGGCCCGAUACUGACGCUGAGGCACGAAAGCGUGGGGAGCAAACAGG